CCUACGGGUGGCAGCAGUGGGGAAUAUUGCACAAUGGGGGAAACCCUGAUGCAGCGAAGCCGCGUGAGUGAAGAAGUAAUUCGUUACGUAAAGCUCUAUCAGCAGGGAAGAAAUACUGACCUUACGGUCAGCAGACGGUACUUGAGUAAGAAGCCCCGGCUAACUACGUGCCAGCAGCCGCGGUAAUACGUAGGGGGCAAGCGUUAUCCGGAGUUACUGGGGGUAAAGGGGGCGUAGACGGUGCGCCAAGGCUGGAGUGAAAUGCCGCAGCUUAACUGCGGAACUGCUUUUGAAACUGGCGAACUAGAGUGCGGGAGGAGUAUGCGGAAUUCCUAGUGUAGCGGUGAAAUGCGUAGAUAUUAGGAGGAACACCGGUGGCGAAGGCGGCUUACUGGACCGUAACUGACGUUGAGGCUCGAAAGCGUGGGGAGCGAACAGGAUUAGAUACCCCUGUAGUC
rnacentral:rRNA from 1 species